rnacentral:rRNA from 1 species
AAUACUGGAUAUGUGACGUGACCGCAUGGUCUGCGUCUGGAAAGAAUUUCGGUUGGGGAUGGGCUCGCGGCCUAUCAGCUUGUUGGUGAGGUAAUGGCUCACCAAGGCGUCGACGGGUAGCCGGCCUGAGAGGGUGACCGGCCACACUGGGACUGAGACACGGCCCAGACUCCUACGGGAGGCAGCAGUGGGGAAUAUUGCACAAUGGGCGCAAGCCUGAUGCAGCAACGCCGCGUGAGGGACGACGGCCUUCGGGUUGUAAACCUCUUUUAGCAGGGAAGAAGCGAAAGUGACGGUACCUGCAGAAAAAGCGCCGGCUAACUACGUGCCAGCAGCCGCGGUAAUACGUAGGGCGCAAGCGUUAUCCGGAAUUAUUGGGCGUAAAGAGCUCGUAGGCGGUUUGUCGCGUCUGCUGUGAAAUCCGGAGGCUCAACCUCCGGCCUGCAGUGGGUACGGGCAGACUAGAGUGCGGUAGGGGAGAUUGGAAUUCCUGGUGUAGCGGUGGAAUGCGCAGAUAUCAGGAGGAACACCGAUGGCGAAGGCAGAUCUCUGGGCCGUAACUGACGCUGAGGAGCGAAAGGGUGGGGAGCAAACAGGCUUAGAUACCCUGGUAGUCCACCCCGUAAACGUUGGGAACUAGUUGUGGGGUCCAUUCCACGGAUUCCGUGACGCAGCUAACGCAUUAAGUUCCCCGCCUGGGGAGUACGGCCGCAAGGCUAAAACUCAAAGGAAUUGACGGGGACCCGCACAAGCGGCGGAGCAUGCGGAUUAAUUCGAUGCAACGCGAAGAACCUUACCAAGGCUUGACAUAUACGAGAACGGGCCAGAAAUGGUCAACUCUUUGGACACUCGUAAACAGGUGGUGCAUGGUUGUCGUCAGCUCGUGUCGUGAGAUGUUGGGUUAAGUCCCGCAACGAGCGCAACCCUCGUUCUAUGUUGCCAGCACGUAAUGGUGGGAACUCAUGGGAUACUGCCGGGGUCAACUCGGAGGAAGGUGGGGAUGACGUCAAAUCAUCAUGCCCCUUAUGUCUUGGGCUUCACGCAUGCUACAAUGGCCGGUACAAAGGGCUGCAAUACCGCGAGGUGGAGCGAAUCCCAAAAAGCCGGUCCCAGUUCGGAUUGAGGUCUGCAACUCGACCUCAUGAAGUCGGAGUCGCUAGUAAUCGCAGAUCAGCAACGCUGCGGUGAAUACGUUCCCGGGUCUUGUACACACCGCCCGUCAAGUCAUGAAAGUCGGUAACACCUGAAGCCGG